GCCCUCUAGAUGCAUGCUCGAGCGGCCGCCAGUGUGAUGGAUAUCUGCAGAAUUCGCCCUUGGAGUCCGAGCCUGGAUCUCGGCGAACGCUAAUAAUUUGCUUUACACUUGCGAGUUGUGCUUUAACAUAUUAAAAUAUCGCAGCGAACGGGUGAGGAAUACUCACUUAUUUUUGUCUGCCUUUUAAUUUGAGAUAAACUAUAUCUACUAUACAUUUUGAUUUUUUUAAUGGCAAAACUAUGUUUUUCCUUUGUCGUGCUAUUAAAUAAUUUUUUAGUUUUCAACUGAACGACUAAAAAAAGAAAAAUUAAAAACUAGGUAAUUGUUAAAAGAUGAGUUUGGGGAAGAUUAGGUUGCCGGUCCAAAUAAUAGUUUACCAAGCCUUUGAUCUUCUCACGGUCUUUUAGGACAUACAUCCACACUGGAACUGAUACAAGGUCCAGGCUAAUUUUUUGGCCAAAUUAAAAGAAUAUUGGACAAUGAACGAAAGUUUGAUCCUUAAAUAUUAUGUGAAUGAUUGACGACUACAUUUUUGGACGACAAUUCUUUCCACCUGAUGAUAAUGACCUUAUUUAAAGAACUUUUAUCCCCGGCUAAUCUCUUGCCAGCUUCCGCGGUUAUACCAAUAUG
rnacentral:rRNA from 1 species